rnacentral:rRNA from 1 species
GAUGAACGCUGGCGGCGUGCCUAAUACAUGCAAGUCGAGCGAACGGACGAGAAGCUUGCUUCUCUGAUGUUAGCGGCGGACGGGUGAGUAACACGUGGAUAACCUACCUAUAAGACUGGGAUAAUUUCGGGAAACCGGAGCUAAUACCGGAUAAUAUUUUGAACCGCAUGGUUCAAAAGUGAAAGACGGUCUUGCUGUCACUUAUAGAUGGAUCCGCUCUGCAUUAGCUAGUUGGUAAGGUAACGGCUUACCAAGGCAACAAUGCAUAGCCGACCUGAGAGGGUGAUCGGACACACUGGAACUGAGACACGGUCCAGACUCCUACGGGAGGCAGCAGUAGGGAAUCUUCCGCAAUGGGCGAAAGCCUGACGGAGCAACGCCGCGUGAGUGAUGAAGGUCUUCGGAUCGUAAAACUCUGUUAUUAGGGAAGAACAUAUGUGUAAGUAACUGUGCACAUCUUGACGGUACCUAAUCAGAAAGCCACGGCUAACUACGUG